rnacentral:rRNA from 1 species
UACGUAGGGUGCAAGCGUUGUCCGGAAUUAUUGGGCGUAAAGAGCUCGUAGGCGGUCUGUCACGUCGGCUGUGAAAAGCUGGGGCUUAACCCCAGUCCUGCUUCCGAUACGGGUGGACUAGAGGUAGGUAGGGGAGAACGGAAUUCCUGGUGUAGCGGUGAAAUGCGCAGAUAUCAGGAGGAACACCGGUGGCGAAGGCGGUUCUCUGGGCCUUACCUGACGCUGAGGAGCGAAAGCAUGGGGAGCAAACAGG